GCUCAUAUGAAAUCGAAUUGUACAUUUUAUUAUCUAUGGAGGGGGAUGCAAGGCUUAGCCUAGCGGAUAUUCCUCUCCUUAGAACCCUGGUGGGGGCAUGGUGCAUGUAUUCAUAAUAUCUGUAAAUGACCUACCAGGAAAAAAAGAGUAUGCUUUCUGCAAGUGUGCUGCAGAAUUCUGAAUAUAUAUAUUAUAAAAGAGAAAAUAAACAAUAUCUAUGGUAAGUCAAUAAAACAAACUUGUUCGGUGGUGUCUAUUAGUUGAUGGCUUCACCUAGCAUCUUUUUUUAUUUAUAGUUUAGUAAAAAACUACAGUAUUUCCUUAUACUAUAGAAGAUUGGCACUGGUUUAAAAGCUAGAGGCGUCAAUCAAUUGUAACUUAGUUCUCUCUCAUUUUUUUGUUUAGGCAGAACAUCUUAGAUACUUUGAUUGGAUUUGUUAUUACCAUCAGGGACCUAGUAUAUUAGAAUUGAAGUAGACUAUUGCAUAUCCAUAUUAGAUUCAUUAUUAUGUAAAAGUGUAUUGGGUCUCACACUUCAUAAACAUGUCAUACUACUACAAACUCUAUAAUAAUGCAAGAUUUAUUAUGGAAUUACUAUUUAAAUGUAAUUAUAUAAUGUAUAACUACGACAGCCAGACUCUUGGACACUGGGAGUCUGGGACAUGGGUGUGGAAACGCAAACACUUGCUCAAGGGAAAUAACAUGCACAAUACAUUACUGAGUUAAACUAUUGCACAUGUAUCCAUGUUAAACUCGUUUACAUAAUCAGAUUAAUUAAAAAUACCAAGUACAAUUCACCAGUCUUGUAGUUUGUAAUACAAAAUUUUAAGCUAAAUUAGUUUGUAUUUUGACCUAUGUUACCCGGACUCGGCUGAAAGUGUCCAGACCGGAUUCGUGUCCGAGUGUUGGACUCGGCAAUAUUUUGAAAAAUUUACAUGUUUUUGGCCUAAAAUAAGUGUCGGAGUGUCCAUACCCAUGUCCGAGUGUCAAGUGUCCGACACGGGUACUCGAGGCAAAAUGAAGAGUCCGGGUAACGUAGAUUUUGACACAUGCAUAUGUAACUUUUCUUUAUUUGACCCUUCUUCCAGGAAAAUUUUUACAUGUUAGUUUAUAAGCCACUUCUUAUUAGUAACGGCUUUCUUGUAGGACUGCAGUCUUCCAUAUUCAGUUUUGUAUUUAGACAUGUUUAUAAUAGUGUUGUUCAAAGGAAGUCUCUCUUCACUGUGUCUGUUUGUUAUAUUGCUCCUCUUCAAGUGCGUUUGUUUGUUAUUUGGCUUAACUAGAUUUUGGUAAUUGGGAAAUAAUAAAACAUAUAAUUUUCUU
rnacentral:lncRNA from 1 species